GGGACGAGCCCAGCACCGAAUCCCCCGGCAUGCAGCCGGUGGGAAAUGUGGUGUGUGGGACGCCAACUGUCGUCCGCGCUGGAGACCGAAGUCCUCCUGAUCGGGGCCUCUCCCACAGCGGGUGUCAGGCCUUUACCGGUCUCUGGCCGGGCGGCUGCGAGCGUCUCAGGAGUCGGGUUGUUUGGGAAUGCAGCCCAAAGCGGGUGGUAAACUCCAUCUAAG
rnacentral:rRNA from 2 species